AAAAGAGAGAGACCUCGCAUACCGUAAAACGUUUUAAAGGUCCGUUAUCUGAGCACGAGGAACUAACACAGUUGGUUAACCCUGUGUAAAGUUCUGUUUGUGGUUCCUUUUCAAUUAGCGGUUACAGUACCAGUAAUUGAAGCUACCGGUUUCUCGAAAAAGAUAUUUAAAAAAAUAAUAAUAAUAAAAAACCGACUUGUUUUUGGUUUUCAUUUGAGAAGACAGUAGAGAUAAGGGUAGGAUGUGGACGCAGUGAACUCACCCCGCACUCACCGUGAACACGGAUUUAACGUUAACGGACUACCUGAGAAUCAAUUUUUCAUCGUAGAGUCACUUUGGACGGAUUUAACAGAGAUUUAUUCGGUUUAUUUGACAGAUUUCCAACACUGGACCACCGCCUUCCCAGAGGCUCGUGACCAAAGCUCAGUGGAUCAGCAGUGUGAGCUAACGUGUCGGCCAGUCGGCUAUUGUUUUUACGUUCGUCAUUCGGAGCGAGUGAGAGACCGAAACCCGUGUGUUGAUAACACCCCCAAUGAUAUGUGCGUGGGAGGCCGAUGCCUGCUUCCUCUCAGAGUGAGGGGUGUGAUGGCAUGCUUGGCUCGGGUGUGGUGUGUGAUUGGUGCAGCAUUUGUGUGUGUGGGAGGCUGAUGCCUGGAAAAGUCUGCGUGUGUUGUCUAAUUUCCACGACAAAUGGCGUCUCCUGGCUGGGCUGAGCGAGUCUUUUCAGCUUUGCUCGACAAGAAGUAAACUGGAGUCCGUGUUGCAGGCAGGCAGUUUGCCCUUUGUUGUGCAGAGCGAAAGACCAAUGCAGCCUUACCACUGACUGGGUCACCGGGAACCUGGAGCCUAUCCCAGGGAGCAUCGGGCACAAGGCGGGGUACACCCUGGACAGGGUGCCAAUCCAUG
ensembl:lncRNA